GCCGGGCAUCGUGGCGGAUGCCUGUAGUCCCAGCUACUUGGGAGGCUGAGGCAGGUGAAUCACUUGAACCCAGGAGGCAGAGGUUGCAGUGAGCCGAGAUCAUGCCACUGCACUCCAGCCUGGGUGACAGAGUGAGACUCCGUCUCAA
rnacentral:SRP_RNA from 1 species